rnacentral:rRNA from 1 species
AUUGAACGCUAGCGGGCUGCUUUACACAUGCCCGUCGAACGGAUUGGCGAACGGGUGCGUAAUGUAUCGGAACGUGCCCAGUAGCGGGGGAUAACUACGCGAACCCGUAGCUAAUACCGCAUACUCUUGGAGCGGCCGAUAUCGGAUUAGCUAGGUGGUGGGGUAACGGCUCACCAAGGCGUCGAUCCGUAGCUGGUUUGAGAGGACGACCAGCAACACUGGGACUGAGACACGGCCCAGACUCCUACGGGAGGCAUCAGUGGGGAAUUUUGGACAAUGGGGGCAACCCUGAUCCAGCCAUCCCGCGUGUGCGAUGAAGGCCUUCGGGUUGUAAAGCACUUUUGGCAGGAAAGCGGUACCUGCAGAAUAAGCACCGGCUAACUACGUGCCAGGCGCCGCGGUAAUAC